rnacentral:lncRNA from 1 species
UCACAAGCAUCUCUGGAACACUUGUGCCACAAGCAUCUCUGGAACACUUGUGAGCGGCACAAGGCUCACCAUCAAAGGGCUCAGCAAAAUGAAUGACUGACCAGCAAGGCACCGGCCCCUGGAGGGAGAAGGAUGAUCUCUGCCUUCAUGCCUUCCAAGUGCUCAUGGUCUCAAGAAACUCAUGUGGGCACAUAAUGGUAAAGCAACAUGGCAGGAUUACAUUGGAAACAGCCACAGAAAUAUCAUGCUAUGCCUAACCCUGCCUGGCCUUUGGGGAAGGCUUUGCAGUGGCUGAGGCUGGAAAUAUGAAAAGGGAGGGCACUCCAGACCAAAGACCGACAUGGGUAAAGGCAAUGAAGCAAGAAUUUGCAAGAUCCGCUGAGGGCAAGGACAGGGCCCCCAAGUCAGGGCAUCCUCCACUGUCAGUGACUCUCAAGAUGGUGACAGCGCCAUGGCAGCAUGUCGUUUUUUCUUGAGUUGAAGAACGCAAACAUCCGUAAUCAAUCAUCACUGAUUAACUAAUUAUAUUACCCUUCCUUUUAUCACGAGGGUUGGACCUUUAUCUGUAAACACUAUGGAUGGUCUGUAUGCUCUUAUUUUUCUGGAAGCAUAUUCCAGUACACACAGAGUCGUGCAGUUACAGGCUGCAAACAGAAUAGCGACAUUAUCGUCCACCUUUAAGCACUACUGCUUUAUUUUUUAUUUUUUAUUUUUUUUUAAACAAAAGCAAUUGGUUUCCAACAGGCUGGAUAAUAAGUCUUUUGACCUGCAUUCUUCUUUGACCCAUUAAGGUCACCCCUGUGCUCGGGCAUAUAGCUGACUUAGGAAAUGCCUGCGAGUCCUACAUUUCAUCUCCUGCCCACUCAAAAUAAAGCUUUCUUUAAAUGUGUCUGUACGGGUCCCUGAAGGCCAAAGAGGCAUCCCUGUAGUGGGCAAUGGAGGGACAGAAGCUUCUGCCUUUAUUAAUGAAUGCAGACCAUUAUGAGUCUGGCUGGCUCCUUCCCUGUUCCCAGAAGCAUAUACUGUACGUGACUUAAAAUGCUAGAAUAUUGACACAAAGCGAGCCGGGCACCCCUAAGGAAAAUUACUCCUUGGAUAUAAUGUAGGCUCGUAACAGCUAUUAGAGUACAAAAUAAAACCCUCCGGGAUCAAACUGACAUAUACCGCAUUCUACCUAGUCCUCAAACAUUAGAAGAAUUUCUUUGUGAAGGCUUUCUCAAGGACAGCAUUAAACUGACUUUUGUAGCAAUCUGCAACAGCUUUUUGGCUUAGAGCUUUUAGUACUAAAUCUCUGGUUUGAAUCAAUAUAAGUACUAUAUCUUCUACAUUAAUCAAUACAUUUGGUUCAAUACAUGUUCUAUUAAAUUAUACUUUCU